UUGCUUUCCUGCCGGCGAGUGGCGAACGGGUGAGUAAUACAUCGGAACGUGCCCUGUAGUGGGGGAUAACUAGUCGAAAGAUUAGCUAAUACCGCAUACGACCUGAGGGUGAAAGUGGGGGACCGCAAGGCCUCAUGCUAUAGGAGCGGCCGAUGUCUGAUUAGCUAGUUGGUGGGGUAAAGGCCUACCAAGGCGACGAUCAGUAGCUGGUCUGAGAGGACGAUCAGCCACACUGGGACUGAGACACGGCCCAGACUCCUACGGGAGGCAGCAGUGGGGAAUUUUGGACAAUGGGCGAAAGCCUGAUCCAGCAAUGCCGCGUGUGUGAAGAAGGCCUUCGGGUUGUAAAGCACUUUUGUCCGGAAAGAAAUGGCUCUGGUUAAUACCCGGAGUCGAUGACGGUACCGGAAGAAUAAGGACCGGCUAACUACGUGCCAGCAGCCGCGGUAAUACGUAGGGUCCAAGCGUUAAUCGGAAUUACUGGGCGUAAAGCGUGCGCAGGCGGUUGUGCAAGACCGAUGUGAAAUCCCCGGGCUUAACCUGGGAAUUGCAUUGGUGACUGCACGGCUAGAGUGUGUCAGAGGGAGGUAGAAUUCCACGUGUAGCAGUGAAAUGCGUAGAGAUGUGGAGGAAUACCGAUGGCGAAGGCAGCCUCCUGGGAUAACACUGACGCUCAUGCACGAAAGCGUGGGGAGCAAACAGGAUUAGAUACCCUGGUAGUCCACGCCCUAAACGAUGUCAACUAGUUGUUGGGGAUUCAUUUCCUUAGUAACGUAGCUAACG
rnacentral:rRNA from 1 species